AAGCAAACCUCUUUGCUAUAAGGGACUCUAGAACGAGUAUGACAAAAUGUAUUACUCCCACUAGAAUCACAAGAAUGUCGGUUAUAUUGCCAGUCAACUACAGUCUAGUUAGGCACCGUACACAUUAGAAGAAGGAUACGUUUCUUGCGCCGAUCAUGCCAGUUUCAUCCAACGAUUCAUAAACGAGGCCGUGGUAAAAGAUCUCCACUACUGACGAUCCGGAGCCAGCGUCUUCACUUGGUCCCAGUCAAGAUUCUCGUCGACUGUCGGAUUUCGGCGGCUACAGUGAACGAAUUUACAUAAAUGAAGAUGGGUGAAAAGGAUUGGAACAUCGAUAUGUAUGCUGCUGCUGAGAUUCGCUCUGCGCUGGUUUAUGGAAAACUAUGUUCCUGCUGUUACACUUUAUCUAGGGAGCUAUUAAAUCGACUCCUUGCACCUUAAUUACUCAGUUUCAAGGAUAACAAUUUAUAUCAAUUAAAAACUUUCGGAAUACAAUAUAUAA